rnacentral:rRNA from 1 species
GUCUAGGCCAUACCACCCUGAAUGUGCCCGAUCUUGUCUGAUCUCGGAAGCUAAGCAGGGUCAGGCCUGGUUAGUACUUGGAUGGGAAACCAAAAAAAAAGCCUUUUAGCUAUAGAAA